rnacentral:miRNA from 1 species
UGGGGUGACCAACUGUCCUGGUUUGCCUGGGACUGAAGGCUUUCCCAGGAAGCAGAAUUUUCAGGACUAAAACCAGGAGAGCC